UAUUCACUUGGGCAUUACUUUUUAUUUAGCAUAUAUUUAAAAUAUAUUUUUGGCCAGAGAAAUGUAUUUUUUGCCAUAUGGGGAUUGAAAAACUGCCUUGAAUGACACCAUGGGAAUUCAUCUGCAUGCAGUCAUAGUGUUCCUGGAAGACCAGAAAAGUUCUUGCAGAUGUGUAAUUUCCUGUAAAGUCUACACAAUCUGUCAUCAUACUGCAUUUGUGACCCUGUCUGUAAAAUCCAGGAAAACGCUCAUAACAUAUUUGUGGGAUUAGGAGCAUCAAUGUUUGAUUCAGUCAUUGAUUUCUCAUACGGCAAAAAUAAAUUUCUUUGGCCAAAAUAUGUUUUAAAUAUAUGCUAAAAAAACAUUUUGUAGAAAGGAAAGCAUAAUUAGAUCUAUUUUUGAAUUUGAAAAUACAUUUAAUUUUAGUUUUAAUAUCAUAUAUUAACAUAUAACGUUAAUUCAAAAUCUAUUUCAGGGGCAACAAAUACAUUUCUAAUAUUACAACCUAUAUAGUAAAAAUGUAUUUUCCUUUUCAAUAUAUAAUUUUUUAUGUAUACAGUAUAAGGAAGAAAUAUAAAAGUAUGUAUAAAAUAUAGCUUCAAGAAAGUUGAGAUGCAUUUGCCGGGAAUCGAACCCGGACACCGAGAAUCAGCUAAACGGCUAAACGCUUAUCCAUUCAUUUCCAAUAGUAGUGCUAAACCACUACGGAUGCAAUAUACUUUUGGCCGCUACGCAUUCUGGCGCUGUUGCGCAGUUUUAUUUGGCGGAAGUUUCCAAAAAGUUUAUUCUAGGUGAACUCCAGCGGAGGAGACAACAGCUUACCGUCGAUUCUUCAUUUAUUUAAGGACCCAUGCACACACACAAGACAGACAGCAGGUCUGCCCCCUCCCCAGGUUCACAGAGAAGAUAAGGAUCAAAAGAUGUGUGAAAACCAAUUGACCUUUUGAACUGUGAACUUCACAGGUCAGCAAAGUGAAACAGCAGCACAUUUUCUUUAUCAGGUCAGGAUGCACAAGAACGUGGUGUUCUUCCCAGGGAGAAUCUGUGUCGUGUUCCGCAAGGGACCGCACAGAUUUUUUCCUCCAGGAGCAGUCCGAUGAAGCCAGGCGGAUAAAGAACAACCCGACUCUUCAGGAGAAGUCUGUGCAACUGAAGGAGGAGCUUGUGUGGCAGAACGCUCUUGCUGUGGUGCGUCAGAGAGGAGGAGAUGCCUCAGACAGGACGGAGGUGCUGGGAGACAACAUCCUUCAAUUUGGAAAGUACCAAGGGAAAUCCUUUAGGUGGCUUUUGAAGAAUGAUGUAGGAUACACAAUGUAUCAAAUUCGGAACCUCCAGAAGGAGCAGGCCUCAGGUGUUUGUAUGGCUGAAGGGGCAUAAG